rnacentral:lncRNA from 15 species
UGACAACAUGCAAUGUGUUCAGGAAUGUUAGUUUUAUAUUUCUUUAGAAAUUGUUUUGUUGGAUAAAAUGAAUGUGGCAGUGAGCCAGCAAAAACGUGGUGGUGUAACAUUAAACACUACAUUAUGCUAUAAUGCAGAUAAGACCUACCACAGUUCUUUAAUAAUUCACUGUAUAAGUGAACAAAUGGCCUUCAGUAAGCAAGUGUUUUAGCAACCGAAUGAAGGUUUCAGCCCAUUGAGUAUGCUGGUAGGCUGGUACAGUAGUAGUACAGUAGGUGUGCCAAGUUUCGUCGGCCACAUUUCUUCAGGAGUUCCACCCACUCUGCUGCAGUAGCUUCCUGCUUUCAGUCACAUUUCCACACACAAACUCUUGGUCUUAUCCGGAGAUGUCUUUGAGUGAGAAAAGUGAUGAGGAGAUCAGCGAGUUGCUUGCUGAGUAUGGCAUCAAACAUGGACCCAUAGUAGACUCUACUAGAAAGCUGUAUGAAAAGAAGCUUGAAAAGGCCAUGGAGGCCACUCCACUGCAAGCCUCAUCUGAUAAGACCUACUACAGAGAGGAAGAGGAGGAAGUCACCUACAUCACAUACCAGAGUCCUGUGAGUCCAGAUUGUCUGCUUAUUCCUGUUUGUGCCAAGUGUUUGUGCCUGCUCUGUGACUGUAAAUAAUCUCACAAACUAUCCUUCUUUCAUUUUCACAGGUUAGACAUGAGGUUUAUGGGGAUGUGUGAGUACAGUCUUCACACACACACACACACACACACACACACACACACACACACACACACACACACACACACACACACACACACAAGGUAUGUUGAUGCUAGAUAAUGCCCUGAUUAACCUGUGAGGGGGGCAGAAAUAUGUGGCUGGGCCUGUAUUAAAGGGUAACUUUGGUUAGGGUAAUAUCACUGUUUGGUUGCUUUGAACACAGAAAUAUGACUUAUUUAUGGUUAAAUAAAAAGACUCUUACUUUUUCUUAAAAAGGUCUAACUCUGUAGGGAUCCUUUCCGUAAUGUUGUCAGACACUUAGAAUAACAAUCUGAACCUGUCAUGGGCAGACACAACAACUUUUAAUGGAUAUACUUUGAUGGUUUGCCUAGGGAAUUUCCCUUGUGGCGAUUUAGGUUGGCUCAACAUACCCACAUACCUUAUACCUUAUGCGGUAUUAAGCCAUUUUUGUUGUUUUGCUUAUUACUUUGUAAGGGGUACAAUGGGAUAAUGUUUCAUCCCAGUACCUGCUUGUACUAUUCACUCUCCCUCUUGCUGCCCCCUGGAUCUGUGACUUUGUUAACUGGAGACUUUCAGCAAAAACAAACAGUCAACAAUUAGUUAACAUAUUUGGCUGAAUGUAAUCAGUUAACAGGGUCACUUGUUACUGUACUAGUACUGCUGGUGUUUGCAGAGCAAGUGAGGGAGAGGCUAGGUGACUUUGUCCUGUGGGGAACUGUAAUGCUGGGCUGUGGACUGAGUGAUACUGAGUAGCACUAUGUUUCAGUCUCCUCAGCCUGGUUGCUCUGGGACUCUUUCCCGUCUUAAACAAAUACUGAACGUGAUGUAAUGAUGUGGCGUCACAUGCGGCUGUGGUGGUGGCUUGCCAUCCCCUCCCAAUUGGCUUGUCAAUAGCGCUAUAUUUCAUUACUUUGGUUAUUGUGACAGUGCUAUGUGCGCCCCAUAAGGAUUACGUUGCAGCCCUCUCAUUCAGACAGAAAAACAUAGGAAAAUAUGGUCCAGGGUGUAAAAAACCCACAGUUACCCUUUAACCCACCCCCUCCCCCCCUUUAUGUAUAUCAACCCUCUCAGCUCCAUGUUCCAGUUCAGUACAGUGCACACAGACACCCAGGAAACAACCAGUACCCCUUAACAUUCUAACAUCAGCAUGUUAAUAUGCUUAUAGUGACAAUGUUGACAUGUUUAGGUUAGCAUAAUAUUUACCAUCUUUACCAUUUUAGUUUAGUGUGUUAGCAUGCUUUAAUUAGCGUUAAACACAAAGCUAAAGGCUGAUGGGAAUACUUACUGUUAGAUUUCAUGGCAAUCCAUCCAAUAGUUGCUGAGAUAUUUCUGUCUGGAUCCAAGAGGUGGACCAACCACCGCCAUCACUAGCGCCUGCUGCUAGCAAGGAUUUAAUUUAAAUUAAACUUGAUUUUAGAAAACACUUUAAACUAGUUGAUUUGCAAUAUUCUUACUGCAAUUGCAAUUUUUUCCACUUUCUGCUAAAUGUGACUACGCAUAGCUGUCAGAUAAAUGUUGUUCAGUCAGACAACUCACAUUUAAAAUGUUUACUACAGCAGCAUAGUAUAUGGGGAGUGAUGAGCAAAUACCUUAAACCCCUAGCUGGAGCCUACAGGUGGAUGCUGGGGUGGUGGUGGGGCGUACAGCGAAGCAGGCAGCAAUACGGAUGCAGGGCAACAGCGGCAUUGACAGAGCAGAGGGAGAGCUGGGAAAUUUUGCAGUUUAAAUAGACCGCCGGAUUGAAAGAGAGCGCUUUGUUAGUGAUUAUGGAGUGAAGCAUGUCACGUGUAUAUAGCAGCGCAGCUCGAGUUGACUGCCUGAACUAGCUCACAGGCUUUGCUCCAUUUGCAUAAAAAGAACAAUAUUUCCCUCCCUAUUUAUUGGAGUAGUAGUGGAGUAGCAUACAAUGAAAAUACUCAGGUAAAGUGCAAGUACCCUUACAGUGGGAGCAAUAAUUAUUUGAUCCCUUGCUGAUUUUGUAGGUUUGCCCACCUACAAAGAAUGGAACUGUGUAUCAUUUUAAUCAUAGGUACAUUUUAACGUUGAGACACAAUAUCACAAAAAAAUCCAGAAUAACAUCAUACAAAUUGUAUAUAUUUAUUAUCAUAUUUCCUCAUGAAAUAAGUAUUUGAUCCAUAGAACAAUAGGACGUUAUACUUGCUGGAGAAACCUUUGUUGGCAAGCACAGAGGUCAGACGUUGGUUGUAGUUUUUCCACCAGGUUUGCACAGAUAUUGGGAGGGAUUUUGAUCCACUCCUCUUUGUAGAUCCUCUCGAAAUCCUUAAGGUUCCGAGGCUGUCGCUUGGCAACUCGUACCUUCAGCUCCCUCAACAGAUUUUCGAUGAGAUUUAGGUCUGGAGACUGCCUAGGCCACUCCAGGACCCUAAUAUGCUUCUUUUUGAGCCAUUCCUUUGUUGCCUUGGCUGUAUGUUUUGGGUCAUUGUCAUGUUGGAAGACCCAUCCACGACCCAUUAUCAGUGCUCUCACUUAGGGAAGGAGGUUGUCGCCCAAAAUUUCCCUGUACAUGGCCCCAUUCAUCCUCCCCUCGAUACGGUGAAGUCGUCCUGUCCCCUUAGCUGAGAAAAACCCCCAAAGCAUAAGGUUUCCAC